AAGCGGAGCGAGGUCGCCCUGCCUCACACUCUCUUACCCCUCUCGCUUUUCCCUGUUUCUGAUCCUCUCCUCCCAGUCAACCUUGUGGAAACAAGUGCCGUAAAGAGUAGGGAAGGAGGACUGAUUCUAGUUUUGUUGCAAAGUAAUGGUUGCUACUUGAAAACUGCGGGCUACGCUGCACCCAUUUUGCAGAUGAAGAUUCCCUAACCCUGCACAAGUAGUUUCCUGAGUGUUCCAAAGUUGAGGUCCCAGAAGCCGGAAUCAGCUGAGCUGCAAGACAACUCUGAACUCGCAGCAACAAUCCCACCGAGGUCCCCAGAAGGCCUGAGCUGGAUGGGUCCCUGCGUCCGUCCGCAUUUCCCUCUGCAGAGCAAGAGGACACAGCUGUGAAUAGUAAAGGAAAAUGAUGUGUAAUGCCUUUCAAAAGAGAAAGUACUGUGCAAGUGCAAGCAUUCUGCUGUGUUUUAAGGCUUGCUUUAGACUACAUCCUAUUAACUAAAUGGCUUUUCAAUAUGCCUCCCAUUGUCUGAGGAGAAAUCUGUUUCUACAACCUCUCUUAUUUAAUGUUUCAAAACCAGUUAUGAGUGAUGAGUUAUAUGAGUUACGCUCUCCCUUACAGUAGAUUACGUUUACAAGUAUUCUGUCUUUCUAUAUGAGUUACGCUCUCCCUUACAAUAGAUUAUGUUUACAAGUAUUCUGUCUUCCCUUUCAAGUCCCAUUUUGACAGGAAAUUUCUCUGUAUUUUCUCCCUUGGUUUUUUUGGUUUUUUGUGUUUUUUUUUUUUUUCUGGUAUAAAGUUUCCAAGGUCUUUAUUAUAGGAGGGAAACUUAGAAGUAGAAAAGAAGUUUGUGCUAUGAAGUCAAAACACAAUUGUGGCCAUCCUGAGAGACAGACAGGAAAUUUGGAGGAUGCAAGAAAAAAAAAAAAAACUCAUUCCAGAGCAUUAGCAUCAGUCCUUAGGCAGCAGAGGCAGGCAGAUCUCUGUGAGUUUGAGGCCAACCUGGCUGCAUAGGGCUACACAAUGGAACUGUUUAAAAAAAAAAAAAAAGAGAGAGAG